rfam:Triticum aestivum genome assembly, contig: Triticum_aestivum_CS42_TGACv1_scaffold_249081_3DL
GAAGUACUCCCUCCGUCCCAAAAUUCUUGUCUUAGAUUUGUCUAAAUAUGGAUGUAUCAAGUCACGUUUUAGUAUUAGAUACAUCCUUAUCUAGUAGAAUAAUCUCAGACAAGAAUUUUGGGACGGAGGGAGUACUCC